GCUUUAUCUUCAGUCCUUGUCACCAAGUCGGGCGAUGCUUCAUAGUGGGUCGCCAAACAGACGUGGAAAAAGAGAGAGCGGGACAACGCCACAACCCCUGAGUUCCGCAAUGACACAGUCUUUAACCAGUCCAACUCUUGGCAGGUACAGAAUACUAAAGGACCAUUUUAUUUCUAAAUGAGUCUGGAUGGCGCACCACAAAGACUGGAAAUGCUACUGCCCUUUCAUUUUAAAUGGCUAUCGGGUUCAUCCUACACAUAAAACCCAUCACAGAAAAUGAAUAUAAGCGGUAGGAGAAGAGACUGGAGAUGUGAACUGUCCCUCUGGAACGGGCUGCCAUUAAGUUUACUAAAAAUGUCUGAUGGUUUCACCCAGACAGUUAGGAGAGCUGUGUCUAAACGGGAUCCAGAUCUCUGUUGUGUUCAUGGGUUGAAGAUGAAGAUAUUACAUUUGAUCUGA
ensembl:lncRNA